AGAAUCAACGCUGGCGGCGUGCCUAACACAUGCAAGUCGAACGAGAAAGUGGAGCAAUCCAUGAGUAAAGUGGCGACCGGGUGAGUAACACGUGACUAACCUACCUUCGAGUGGGGGAUAACCUAGGGAAACCUGGGCUAAUACCGCAUAACAUCUUUGGAUCGGAAGAACUGAAGAUCAAAGGAGCAAUUCGCUUGAAGAGGGGGUCGCGGCUGAUUAGCUAGUUGGCGGGGUAAUGGCCCACCAAGGCUUUGAUCGGUAGCCGGCCUGAGAGGGCGCACGGCCACACUGGAACUGAAACACGGUCCAGACUCCUACGGGAGGCAGCAGUGGGGAAUUUUGCGCAAUGGGGGAAACCCUGACGCAGCAACGCCGCGUGGAGGAUGAAGUCCCUUGGGACGUAAACUCCUUUCGACCGGGACGAUUAUGACGGUACCGGUGGAAGAAGCCCCGGCUAACUUCGUGCCAGCAGCCGC
rnacentral:rRNA from 1 species